UAGAGACCCUGGCAUUUCAAGUACAAAGAGAUCCAAACAGCCCCCUGUGGCAUUUGCCAGAAUCUACAGAUUGCCACCCCGGGCCUGACCCAGAUACACAUGAGAAGCCCCAUUGGUACGAAAUGGAUAUCAGAUUCACUAUCAGAACAUCAACAAGUUGUGGAGGAACAGCCUAAUGGUGGAACAACAGUACCUGCAGAAAAAAUGUUGUAGAUUAUGUUACCGUCUGCGUCAGACAAGAAAUAUCUAGUACCAAGGAGUGAGAUGGAGGCGACUGCGGUCAAAGGAAAUCUUAUCGAGUUCUCCCCUGCGCUCUCCUAGGGACCCGGGAUAAGAAGGAGCUGCUCUCAUAUAUUUCAAGUUUUUUAGAAUUAAUUUUCUUUUACAUCAACCUGGGUUAUAAUUAAAGGGGAACUACUGUGAAAAUUGAAAUUUAAU